UACGUAGGGUGCGAGCGUUAAUCGGAAUUACUGGGCGUAAAGCGUGCGCAGGCGGUUUUGCAAGCCGGAUGUGAAAUCCCCGGGCUCAACCUGGGAAUGGCAUUCGGGACUGCAAGGCUGGAGUGCGGCAGAGGAGACUGGAAUUCCUGGUGUAGCAGUGAAAUGCGUAGAUAUCAGGAGGAAUACCGAUGGCGAAGGCAGGUCUCUGGGCUGACACUGACGCUCAUGCACG
rnacentral:rRNA from 1 species